UGGGGAAUUUUGGACAAUGGGGGCAACCCUGAUCCAGCAAUGCCGCGUGUGUGAAGAAGGCCUUCGGGUUGUAAAGCACUUUUGUCAGGGAAGAAACGGUCGUGGCUAAUAUCCAUGGCUAAUGACGGUACCUGAAGAAUAAGCACCGGCUAACUACGUGC
rnacentral:rRNA from 1 species